rnacentral:rRNA from 1 species
UACGGGGGGGGCAAGCGUUGUUCGGAAUUACUGGGGCGUAAAGGGCUCGUAGGCGGCCAACUAAGUCAUACGUGAAAUCCCUCGGCUUAACCGGGGAACUGCGUCUGAUACUGGAUGGCUUAGUUCGGGAGAGGGAUGCGGAAUUCCAGGUGUAGCGGUGAAAUGCGUAGAUAUCUGGAGGAACACCGGUGGCGAAGGGCGGCAUCCUGGACCGAUACUGACGCUGAGGAGCGAAAAGCCAGGGGGAGCAAACAGGGAUUAAGAAACCCCCUGUAG